rnacentral:rRNA from 1 species
UACAGAGGGGGCAAGCGUUAUUCGGAAUUACUGGGCGUAAAGGGCGCGUAGGCGGAUUUUCAAGUGAGGGGUGAAAUCCCUCGGCUUAACCGAGGAACUGCCUGUCAGACUGGAAGGCUUGAGACCGGGAGAGGUGAGUGGAAUUCCCAGUGUAGCGGUGAAAUGCGUAGAUAUUGGGAGGAACACCAGUGGCGAAGGCGGCUCACUGGACCGGAACUGACGCUGAGGCGCGAAAGCGUGGGGAGCAAACAGG